GACGAAGGGAGCGAGCGUUAUUCAUAAUGACUGGGCGUAAAGGGUUCGUAGGUGGUUUUUGAAAUUUGCAAGUGAAAGCCCAAACAAAACUUUGGAAGCUUUUGCAAAAAGCUAAAACUUGAGGAAAAAAGAGGGAAGUAGAAUUUUGCAAGGAGGGAUGGUAUCCAAAGAUAUGCAAAGGAAUACCAAUGUGCGAAUGCAGCUUCCUGGUUUUUUACUGACAUUGAGGAACGAAAGUGUGGGGAGCAAACAGG
rnacentral:rRNA from 1 species